AUAUCACCUUCCAUCCAUCUGUCUCCUCCUCCACCAACCAUCAUCAACUGUUUGAACUCCUGUGGUUACAAGAGCAAAGAUCAGGUUUGAGGAAAUGCUUAGAUGAAUAAAUGUGAGAAAGAGGUAGAAAUAUCAAAUUUUAAAACUUAAUUGAUGGUAAUUUAAAGUCUUGAAUUCUCUCCACUUCCUCCAUCCUACUUCUAAGUGCCUCUGGUCACCCUGCCUUCAUCUCUCUGCUCUCCCUUCUUUUCCUUCUCUGUUUAGUUUCUUCUCACCCUGUUAGUCUGUUAUAACCCUCAUUUGUAUACAGGGUAUUUUCCUCCCUUUUCCAGCAGUUUCUUCCCCUUGAGCACUCUCAUUUCCCUCUCCGUUGCUCCCCCCAGUUGCCCGAGAUUUUCAAUCAUCACUUCAUGGCAGUGUUCCCUGAACCUCCCCGAGCUCACACUGCUGUACCUGCCGCGGAAAGAAAAACACAUUACUUGAUUCAUUUUAGAAACGAUUUUACAGUACGUCAAGGUAAAAAGGCUUGGGGAUAUAAACAAGCUCAGAAAUGUUUCGAGAUCAGGUAGAUGUAAUUAGAACACAGGCUGUUGAUUAGAUUACUUUAUUUUGCAACAAUGGGAGUUUAAUCACGUUGGAAAUUGGUUACAGGAUUUCUUGUGGUGAUUAGGUAUUUCUAUCAUAUUUUAGUCAUCUUUAAUUACACAAAUAAAUACUAGUUGUUUACUUUUUUGGCUUACUUUUUUUCUGUCAGUGUGCAGACAGUGACUAGGCCUGCUGCUCAGCAGCCACGGUAAGUGCAACCAGCCUCCUCACGGCAUCCACAGAGAGAGGAGGAGAGAGCUCAGUUCUCUUCCUUUGAGAGAGGAUUGCUCAUUACCUGUUUCACAAUUCAUCCCUCACACUCAUCAAAGCUCUGUUUGCUUCUGUUUUAAACCUCAGACAGCAAAGGAGAAGUUAUUAUGUCCAGUUCAGGCUAUGCAGAAACAUCCUUCUUGAGCAAACCCACAAAGACAGCACCGCAGUCCCUGAGCGGCUGAAGGGAAGCUUGGGGCUCAGUUGAUGCACCAAGCGGGGUCAGAGCUGAACUUGGAUGUCACAGUAUAUCCUUCUAGAGCUCUGUGGAGAUGCUCCAGGUGCUGUAUUCCCCUGGGGAUGUGAUGACAGUGCUGAGGAAUACAUUCAGUGCAGGUGGCUCAGGGGUGCAUGUUGAGCUCUGGGUGGGAGCCCAAGACAAGAGGCUGUGAACUGCCAACCCUUUGCACGACAAAAGGCACAGGGACCACCUGUGGCACAGCCAGGUGAGGGACACCCAGAGACAAGGCAGGAGCCCGUAACUCGGGAAGAAGAGCGAGUCUGACAUACUUGGACUAGGAGAGAAAAAAAAACCCAGGGAUUCCUUUGUUCAGAGACCCUCCUCAGAGGCACCAACUCGAGCUGUUUCCCUGUUACUGCACCAUGAAUAAAUUGCUUUAUGGAAUGAGUCGUCUGACACACUAAUACAGGAAGCUUGUAGUCAAACUGAUGAGGAACCGAGGAGGCCUGACUGUGUGAGGGGGGUAUGCAGGGAGUCAAGAGGGGACCUGUUGGGUCAGUGGAGCCAAUGCCGUGAAAGGGCCUCAGUCCCAGCAGUGAAAGUCUGUGGUGCUUGGAGUGUGACUGCCUGAGAGUCUCGUGAAUGGUCACACUGGGAAGGUUCCUUAACAACAGGACUGGAGUUUAAAUGGCUGUUCCUGAACUAUGCAGUGCUGUGGUGGCAGAGCUGGCCCCGGCUCCUCUGCACUAAUCUGCUGUGCAGAUGCACACACACAGAUGCACCAUGUCCCUUUACAUAUAUAUACACAUAUAUAUACAUAUAUACACAUAUGUAUAUAGUGCUAGGCUGACAAAACUGAUAUGGGAAACAGCACAAACUUGUCAGCUUUCUUCCCUUGGCCUGUGGGGCUGCAGCCCCACUGGACUAAAAGUUGCCUGCUCCCUGGGCAGUGCACAUUAGCUCCCCGAUGGGUUCUGUAUCACCAGUUUGUUCCCAGGGGAGGGAGAGCAGAGCUGGCAGUCGCCUGCCUUCGCUGCCACAGGACAGGGCUCGUGGCAGUGGGGGAUGGCCACGUUAGGCAGAUGCAGACUGCCAUUCCCACAGGUCAGGUUUGAUACUGUGGACGCAUCAAGGUCAAAUGAGAGGAGAUAUAAACACUCCUCUUUAGGCUUCUGCAUGCAGUGUGAGAGCUUCUUGUCCUUCAGUACAACAGAGGGAGUUUAUAGGAUCCCAGGAGGCUUAAUGCACCAAGCUGGACCUGAUGAUAAUCUUACAGGAAAACAAAUUCUUUUUUUUUCUCCCAAAAGCCUUCCACUUUUUUGAGCCUCUUGGAUUGGCUUCCCUCAGCUACCUGGUCACACUGUGCCUGGACUACCACCCUUUCACAGUUUAUAUGGCACCUAAACCCUCAGAAGGCUCAGCAGACAACACUUCUAUGGCUUUAAUAAUAUAUUAUAUAAUAUAUCAUAACUAUCCUCCCAUAAUUAUUUCCCAACUGCAGAUAAAUAUUUUUUCUUUUUCUUUUUUUUUUUUUAUUCAUCUUCCUACAUCCACCCUGAUGUGUUAAAUAUGUCUUUGGUGAUGGAGGUCUGCAAGCAGUCUGCUUCAAAAGUUUAGGCUACACAUUGUCUUUAGGGAGGUGAUAAUGACUCACCAUGUACCACCAGCUCUUCAAGCUUCUCCUUCCAACAGUCUCUGCUCACAGUCCCAGUGUUUCCAGUGUUCAUCCAUUCAAAUCUUCUCUGCGAGGCAAACUGUAAACGAAAGGGAAGGGCGCUGUAACUUGAGAUAAUAUCCAGAGUGCUUGAAUUGAAACUUCUAUGAAGAAUACACACUCGUUUGUCCCCGAACAAGAAAAAAUGUGAACAUAUACAUUGUGUCUGUACCUCUGAUGUGAUAUGGGAAUCUUGGUGAUGGAGUAUCCAAGUACUGCAUGUGGUUCUUGAACUUCUGUGAGCAAGCAGAGGUGGAUAAUUCAUCCUGGCAGUUUUGAAGUGCAAUAAACACCAGGAACCUGAAAAGAGGUAAAGUUUUUCAAAUUAUUUACCGUUAAUUAUUUUUUAGUGAAGAGUACACUUAGCAUUUUAAAGAUGUAAUGAAAAUCUUAUGCUGACUGAGAAAAGCAUCUGCAUGAAAAACAAUUUCUUGUUUUCUCCCACGAUGUAUUCUUAUCUUUUAAACUUUAUCCGAUGUUGUUCCUGACCUUCAUAUUUUUGCAAGCCAACAGUUACUAUUCAUGGCAUUUUCCAUCAGAUUUGUUCGCUGUUAUGUAUUGCUUCUAAAAUUACAGGUCUCGUCCAGUUUUAAUUUUUUUUUCAUUGUCACCAAUAGUAUUAAAGAUUGUGUCAUGACUGGGCACCAAAAGUAUUUGCAAUGCUGUGGAAAGGAGAAAUAAGCUUGUUAAAAAAAAAAAUCACAUCCUGAUUUAACGCUUUUAUAAUAUUCCUCUAUUUUUAAUAGGAAGUGGGACAACCUGCAAUACAGAUUUCAUAGCUUUUAAACACUAAUUUACUCUUGAUACUUUUUUCCCCCCAAUUUGCCACAACAAGAUAAUUGUACUGACUGUGCAAUGGUGAGUGAGAAAAGAUUACAAUGUGUAGCAUCCCAGUGUUUUUGACAGCCUGAUGUAUUGCAGCUUGAAACAUGUGAGUCCUUUCAGUGUUAUUCUCUCAUGCUCAUUAAAACUGAAAACAGGGUUUUGGAGUCUGACACUGCUUUUCCUGCCUGUUUCCAAGGAAGAGCAGAAAUAAGCCAUUUGCACUGGUGACACAGGUCCCAUUCACAUGUUCAUACUUGUGACCAAGGGGCUAAUUUCCUGUUUCAGUUUCAUUCUCAUUUUCAGCCUGAGGCUGAAGGGAAAUGAUGACGGAGAUGGCUAAGUGGCACCUCAAGCAUAUCUGUGCAAUCACACGACAGCAUUCUGUGCUGACUACAAGUAAGGGCAAUACCUGGCUCUGCAACCAUUAGUUCUGUGAGAUGCUAACCAAGGAGAAGGAAUCACGUGUGUUUAGUGAAGAAGAUCAAGUCCAAUAGUUUUUGUUUAAUAUGAGCUUUGAACACACUCCCCAGUGCAACCUGAGCUUUCUGUCACCAGCUCAGCUGUUAUGUGGCUCUUGUCCCUUUUGCAAGUUGUCAGGUAGAAACACAAGGAGUAGGGAGAGAAAGCAUUUGGCUUCUUUCUUCGGAAGAGAGUUAGGAUGUUCUAGAGUCAAGCUUCUUAUUUAGGGCAAACAAAGCCCCUUUAGACUUAGCCAUCAGAAUACAGAGAAACAGCAUUAUUGGUGGGGUUUCUGCUAAGAGACUGAGCCCUGAGCAGUUGCUCAAAAACAGGUAACUUGUUUCAUAACAACUCAUUUCCUCUCUUUAUGGAAAUAUAUCUUGAGUUUUGGUAGAAUUCAGACCAUGUCCUGCCUUCUUCCCCAUGAAUCACCAUGGAUAACAGAGCAGGAAGCUUCAUAUAAGAGAGAGGAACGGGUCACGCAGCAAAAAUAUCGGUCCUGGAAAGAAAAGGAUAUUCCUGUCAAGUAUUUAAACAAUAUAUGCCCCUUUUUUUUCUUAAAAGGGGAAAAAUAGGUGUUAAUAAUUCUGUCAUGUGCCUUAGGAUCUCUGGGUUGACACUUGACAUUUGCCUUGUGUUGCUCACAUACCCCUGUGGGCAUAAAGGUUUGAUUAGGACUAUGGUAGUUUAGCAGAACACGGUGAAAGGUGGAUUAUCAUUCCAGCAGAGAAAUGCCUCAGCAAGUCAAUCUGACUUUUGUUCUUUGACUUUACUAUCUAUUUACUAUCUAUAUCUAUUGUAUACUAGUCAAACCAACUUUUUAGAUUUAAUAGGACAGUCUCUUCACUUUGUGAAAGUUGCAGUUCACUGGGCAUUAUUCCAAAAAGCAUCCAUUUCCAGCACUUUCAGGGUCAAACCGUUCUUUGCAUCUCUGGUUUACAUUAAGAUUGCACUGUAGCCAUUAUCCUUUGAAAACUAAAGACAAAGUAGAAGUGGCUUUUCCCUCUCA